rnacentral:rRNA from 1 species
AGAAUGACUCUCGGCAACGGAUAUCUAGGCUCUUGCAUCGAUGAAGAACGUAGCGAAAUGCGAUACUUGGUGUGAAUUGCAGAAUCCCGUGAACCAUCGAGUCUUUGAACGCAAGUUGCGCCCGAUGCCAUUAGGUUGAGGGCACGUCUGCGUGGGUGUCACAU